UUGGUUGGACACGUAUCCUCUGCAACUACGGAAAGGAAAACACUAUUUGUAUAUUCAUAUUAUUCCGUCAGUUACAGCUGAGAAAUCGAAGAGAACAGACGGGUAUUUUACGAGUAUAAAUUUAUUGAUUUUGAAUAUAUUAAUUUAUUAAAUAAUUACUGCACUAAAAAAAUAACAAUGAAGUGGACGAACAAGAUUCUUCUGAGUAUUUUAUUUGUGAGUGUCAUCGACUGCUACAAUAUCAAGAUUUUUGAUUCUUCGUCAUCGAAUAAUCUUCCGACUUUUCACAAACAUACGUGACAUCUGCUAGAAAUAUGUUUUCCUAAUCAACUGAACCCUGUGGCCAUUACCGCUGACCUGAUUGAUGUUAUGCACGAGACUCAAAGAAAUGAAGCUAUCGACUCGUCCCUUGUUGUCAUCGACAAGAAUUUUAAGUCUAAAGCGAUCAAAAAAUACUACCCACGGCAUCCUACUUAUGUCCUAUCGACUGACUUAAUUGGCCAACUCCAGACAAAUAUCAAUGAAAUAAAAUCCAGUGAAAUUUGGAACGUCGCUUCAGUGAUUGUUGGAAUAGGAAAAGAUUGUGACCGUGCAUCGAAAGUUCUCCAGAUGAUUUGGGAGAUUGAGGCUUUGUCUUCUUAUUACGUAUGUCAGCAUAGUUUGAGCAACAGGACCAUCAUCUACACCUUCAACCCUUACACGGAUCGAGCCCCCACACCGUGGCGGAAAGAGAAGAUUGCAGACAAGCCAGAUGACAGAUGGACUUUGUACAGGCAGCAAUUCGUCAACAUUGUAUCUUAUUGUGUAACUGCUACAGGGCCAGAAACAGAGUAUUUUACCGGCAGUUGAGCAAAUCGUCGACCAAGUAUUUACCAAACAAUCGAUAAUAAUGUCCUCUGUUAUUUUGAUCUUUAUAUUUAUGAUGAUUCUGCUGAAUCACAAGUUCCAAUUCGGCGCAGCUGCUCUAGAUCUCUUGUCAUUGAUUCUUAACAUGGGAAUAUCGACUCCCAUGGAUAGGUUAUCAAUGCGCAUAACCUUCAUAAGUGCUACUUUGUUUGUUGUGAUUUUCAACCCGGUUUUACAGGGGCAAUUGGAAGCUGUGUUGACCAGGCCAAGUACUACAAACAUUGAAACUUUACACGACUUACAUGAAAACCAUUAUGUUGUUUAUUAUGAUGUGCUUCUCGAUGAGGAGCUGAUUAAAGCAGAAUUAGGGUCAAACGAUUCUGUGGACGAACAUUUUAUUCCAAAACUUGGCGAUCUUUGGUAUUGCAAAACUUUGAUUAAGCAAAAUAAUUCGAUUGCUUGCAUCAUAUUCGAUGCUUAUCUUGAUAACAUAAAAUCUAGUGACAAGUUUCAUUUUUCGAAAGAGAAAUUGUUUAAAGAACAUGAAUGGCUCGUGGUUCGAAAACAGUGGCCGUUAAAAAAGAAGAUCGAUGAAGUAGCCAUGAGACUUGUUGAGUCUGGUUUUAUCGAACACGUGGAAAGACAAAAUGUGUACAAGAAUUACGUACGGAAACAAAGAUUGAUUAGAAGAAUUAAGAUGCGCGAGCAAAAUGACCAAUUAGAUUUCGAGGAAUUUGAGUUGUUUUUGUUAUUUGUUGUACUCAGCGUAAUUUGGCUGUUUCUGAUCCUUCUUAUUGAGAUAAUGUGUAAAAAGAUGCAGGACUACCAUAAAAGACGUCUGCGCGAAUCGAAAUUGAGAAAAUUGAUAAUGAGAAGGAGAAUGGCGGCUGCCAUUAGACAAAUGGCUUUUUUCGCCGAACAAAAUUAAUUAUUUUUAAUAUCACGUGUGCCGUGUUACUGUGACGUGUUUAUUUAUCGAUUACUGUCGUGUGUCGUUUAAAUAACUGGCAAUAUCGCGUUACCGUUGACAUUCUAAAAGACUUACCAACCGUCGAAGGCACAAGGGCGUCAAAAAAUUUUUUUUUUCUCUAAUUUUCACUUACUUUUCUUCAAAGUAUAAGAAAUCUAAUUUUUCUUCUCAUCAAUUCAAUUUUUGGGAUUAAUUUUUUUUUUACGCCCUUAUAAAUCCCGAGUAUUAAAGAGGCAUAUAAAAUAAUAUUGAAUAAAAAGAAAAAUUUCUGUAGAUUUAUUGUACUUAAGAUUUCAUUUUCUGUGAUGUAAAUUUUCUCAAUUCACGUUAUGGGUUUUAUUUAAUGUGUUCUUUAUUUACCUAAAAAAAUAAAGUUGCGUAAAAUAAGGAGGUCAGUUAAUAUUUACCUGCAAAUUGAUUUUUUUAAAAACGACAGUGUUAAGGCGGGAGAGUUAUUGACUACAAAAAUAAAAAACUGCACAUGGAUAAAUUUAAAAACUAAUACUUGUAACAGUCGGACUGCGGACGGACACGUAUCCUUUGCGACCACGUCAACGGGAAUUUCUUUGUUUAAUUAUUUUAUUCCGUUAGUUACAUCCUGCGUAAUAUACGUGGCCAGUAACUAUGCAUUCCAACUGAUUUUUUUUUAAAGCAAAACCAUAAUAAUUAGAUGUGAAUUAGCGAACCUUGGUUGGACACGUAUCCUUUGCAACCACGGAAAGGAAAACACUAUUUUUAUGUUCAUUUUAUUCCGUCAGUUACAGCUGAGAAUCGAAGAGAACAGACACGUAUUUAACGAGUAUAAAUUUAUUGAUUUUGAAUAUAUUAAUUUAUUAAAUAAUUACUGCACUAAAACAAUAACAAUAAAGUGGACGAACAAGAUUGUUCUGAGUAUUUUAUUUGUGAAUGUCAUCAACUGCUACAACAUCAAGAUUUUUUAUUCUUCGUCAUCAAAUGAUCUUCCGACUUUUCACACACAUACGUGACAGUUGCUAGAAAUGUGUUUUCCUAAUCAACUAAAUCCUGUGGCCAUAACCGCUGACCUGAUCGAUGUUAUGUACGAGACUCAAAGAAAUGAUGCUGUCGACUCGUCCCUCGUUGUCAUCGACAAGAAUUUCAAGUCUGAAGCGAUCCAAAAAUACUACCCACGGCAUCCUACUUAUGUUAUUUCGACUGACUCAAGAAACCAACUCCAACCAAUAUUAAUGAAAUAACAUCCAGUGACAUUUGAAACAUCGCUUCAGUGAUUGUUGGAAUAGAAAAAAGAAAUGGUGAAAAACGGUUUUCUUCGAUUAUCUUCGAAGCGACUUAUUCUAUCAAUUUCAAAAUCUGAUCAGCUUUAGAACUCAAUAAAACGCGCCCAUUGCCACCUUAAACAUCUCAAUCGGUUAAUUUGUUCCAGAGAUAUCGUUGAAGAAAUGAAUGGUAAAAAACGGUUUUUUUCGAAAACACUGGCAUACAAAUAUAUUUUCAAGCUUGAAGAGCUCGAAAAUGUAUUCACAGCAAUGUUUUCGAGCUCCUUGAGCUUGAAAACAGCGGGAAGUUUUAGGGCUGGUCAACCGAUAGACAGAUUUUUUUUAUCGUAUUGUUUGUUUAAAAAAAAUCUGUCUAUCGGUUGACCCUGCGGGCCAGCCCUAAAAUUUUCCGCUGUUUUCAAGAUCCUUGAGCUUGAAAACUUUGUCGUGAAUACAUUUUCGAGAUCUUCGAGCUCCGAAAUGCGUUUGUAUGCUAUUGUUUUCGAAAAAAAAUCGUUUUUUAGCAUUUCUUUCUCCCACGAUAUCUCGCGAACGAAUUAACCGAUUUCGAUGGCUUCGACGGCAAUCGACGUGUUAUAUUGAGUUCUAGAGCUGAUUAAAUUUUGGAAUUAAUCGGAUGAGUCCCUUUGAAGAUAAUCGAAGAAAACCGUUUUUCACCAUUUCGUUCUCGAACGAGUUCUCUCGAACGAACCAAUCGAUUUCAAUUGUUGAGGCGGCAAUCGACGCGUUUUAUUGAGUUCUAGUGCUGAUAGGAUUUUGAAAUUGAUCAAUCGAGCCAUUUCCGAAAAAUUUGAAGAAAAACUUAAAAAAAAAUUUUUUUAACUUCCCGCUAAGAAAAUUGUAAAUUUUCAAAAAUUCGGGAAGUUAUUGGUUUCGGUCCGAUUUACGAAAAUCGAAUUUCUAUCAGAUGUCGACGUUUUGAGGUCCUAGGAAGCUAUUCUGACUAAUUUCAAGAUGAUGUCCGAGUGUAUGUAUGUAUGUAUGUACGUACGUACGUACGUACGUAUGUAAAUAUCUGUAUCUUUUGAACGGAUGAACCGAUUUUGAACUUUAAGGUGCCAUUCGACGCGGAUUGUCAAUAUCUUGAAGCCGAGAGGAAAUUGAGCUUGGUCGGUAGGGCUCGUUCAGAGAUAUUCCAAAAAUAAAGUUUUUUCAAAAAUGUUUUUUUUGGAUAACUUUUAAUGUGCUCGAAGGAUUAAUUCCAAAAUGGACUGGGCUCUAGAGCUUUAUAAGCCGCGUCGAAUGCCACCUCAACCAUCAAAAUCGGUUCAUUCGUUCAAGAGAAACCGUUGUCGAAAGAAUUAAAAAAAAAAAUUUUUUUUAUUUUUCCUGAAAUAUCUCAAAAACGACUCGAUAAAUCGGAUCCAAAAUUUUAUCAGCUUUAGAACUUGACAAAACGCAUCGAUUGCCGCCUCAACCAUCAAAAUCGGUUAAUUCGUUCGCGAGAUAUCGUGGGAGAAAGAAAUGCUAAAAAAUGGUUUUUUAUAAAACAAUGGCAUACAAAAGUAUUUGCGAGCUCGUAGAGCUCGAAAAUGUAUUCACAAUAGUGUUUUCGAGCUCAACGAGCUCGAAAACAGCGGGAAGUUUUGGGGCUGGCCCGCAGGGUCAACUGACAGACCGAUUUUUUUUCUUGUAUUUCUUCUAUAUCUUAGAGUCCAUUUGAUCGAUCGAUUUGAAAUUUUUAGAAAAGUUGACGGCCAACAAACUCUUUCGAUUGCCACCUCAAACAUCUCAAUCGGUCAAUUCAUUAAAAAGAUAUUAAGAGUUUACAUCCAUACACACACACACACACACACACACACACACACACACACACACACACACACACACACACACACACACACACACACACACACACACACACACACACACA